CAGGCCUUGGCUGGCUUAGACUGACCUUGAUGGGUCUUCACUUUUUUUUGUUGUUGUUGUUGUUACCAGAUUUGACCUGCCAUGACUGGCCUUGACUGGCAGUAUCUGGUCAUGAUCCUGCUGCUUCCUGCCCAGCCAAGGUCCUGGGACUCAGAGGCUGUACAACACUGUGGGGGUAGGUGGAGGAGAGCAGAAUGGUGAGGGUGCACCUGGGAGAGCUCACUGGUGGGGUUACACCAGAAAGGCCUUAGAGAUCACUUCCUCUUGCAGAUGGAGAAAUAGGCCCUGUGGAUGUGGACUCAACUAUCAGAGCAGGUGACAGUGGAGACAGGCAAAGAUAUCUGCAUGACAGGAGUAAGCUGGGGUGAGUGCAAAUUUGUGCACUUUUCUCCUCCCUGAGACUUUCAGCUCCACAGAGCAGCCUCUGAAAUACAUGUAAAUACUUGGUGAUCCACAAUCCAGACAAGAGUGGAAGGACCAGAGAAGGAUAGGACCAGGUGGAAAUGUAGUAGAGAGGCAAGGUGUUAGCCUAGGGGGAAUGCUAGUUAACCCACAAGGUAACGGUGAGAGAAGGGAAGGCAAUAGUGAAACAAUCCUAACCCUAGCUGUAGCUGUAGCCAAAACCCUAAACCUAGCUUUUUUUUUUUUUUUCUCCUUAGACAAGGUCUCACUUUGUCACCAAGGCUGGAGUGCAGUGUCGUGAUCUUGGCUCACUGCAGCCUCAACCUCCCAGGUUCAAGUGAUC
rnacentral:lncRNA from 10 species